rnacentral:rRNA from 1 species
GAGUUUGAUCCUGGCUCAGAUUGAACGCUGGCGGCAUGCCUUACACAUGCAAGUCGAACGGCAGCACGGAGCUUGCUCUGGUGGCGAGUGGCGAACGGGUGAGUAAUAUAUCGGAACGUACCCUAGAGUGGGGGAUAACGUAGCGAAAGUUACGCUAAUACCGCAUACGAUCUAAGGAUGAAAGUGGGGGAUUCGCAAGAACCUCAUGCUCGUGGAGCGGCCGAUAUCUGAUUAGCUAGUUGGUAGGGUAAAAGCCUACCAAGGCAUCGAUCAGUAGCUGGUCUGAGAGGACGACCAGCCACACUGGAACUGAGACACGGUCCAGACUCCUACGGGAGGCAGCAGUGGGGAAUUUUGGACAAUGGGCGAAAGCCUGAUCCAGCAAUGCCGCGUGAGCGAAGAAGGCCUUCGGGUUGUAAAGCUCUUUUGUCAGGGAAGAAACGGUGAAAGCUAAUAUCUUUUGCUAAUGACGGUACCUGAAGAAUAAGCACCGGCUAACUACGUGCCAGCAGCCGCGGUAAUACGUAGGGUGCAAGCGUUAAUCGGAAUUACUGGGCGUAAAGCGUGCGCAGGCGGUUUUGUAAGUCUGAUGUGAAAUCCCCGGGCUCAACCUGGGAACUGCAUUGGGGACUGCAAGGCUAGAAUCUGGCAGAGGGGGGUAGAAUUCCACGUGUAGCAGUGAAAUGCGUAGAUAUGUGGAGGAACACCGAUGGCGAAGGCAGCCCCCUGGGUCAAGAUUGACGCUCAUGCACGAAAGCGUGGGGAGCAAACAGGAUUAGAUACCCUGGUAGUCCACGCCCUAAACGAUGUCUACUAGUUGUCGGGUCUUAAUUGACUUGGUAACGCAGCUAACGCGUGA